rnacentral:tRNA from 1 species
GGGCCCGUAGCUCAGCUUGGCAGAGCAGCUGGCUUUUAACCAGCCUGUCGGGGGUUCGAAUCCCCCCGGGCCCG